AGCGAACGUUAGCGGCGGGCCUAACACAUGCAAGUCGAGCGAGAAAGUGGCUUCGGCCAUCAGUAAAGCGGCGGACGGGUGAGUAACACGUAGGUAAUCUUCCCUUGAGCGGGGGACAACGAGCCGAAAGGCUCGCUAAUACCGCAUACGUUUCCAGAGGCCCCGGCCUUUGGAAGGAAAGCCAGGCAGCAAUGUCCGGCACUCGAGGAGGAGCCUGCGUCGCAUCAGCUAGUUGGUGGGGUAACGGCCUACCAAGGCGAAGACGCGUAGCUGGUAUGAGAGGAUGAUCCGCCAAACUGGGACUGAGACACGGCCCAGACUCCUACGGGAGGCAGCAGUGGGGAAUAUUGGACAAUGGGCGCAAGCCUGAUCCAGCCACGCCGCGUGAGGGAUGAAGGCCUUCGGGUCGUAAAGCUCUGUGGGGAGGGACGAACCGCUGCAGGUUCAUAGCCUGCAGCAUGACGGUACCUCCUUAGCAAGCACCGGCUAACUUCGUGCCAGCAGCCGCCGUAACAC
rnacentral:rRNA from 1 species